CGAGAAAGCCCGCAAGGGUGAGUAAAGCGGCGCACGGGUGCGUAACACGUGGGUAAUCUGCCCUAGAGACUGGAAUAACUCGCCGAAAGGCGUGCUAAUGCCGGAUGAGACCACGGGAGCUUCGGCUCCUGCGGGAAAAGGUGGCCUCUGUAUACAAGCUAUCGCUCUAGGAUGAGCCCGCGGCCCAUCAGCUAGUUGGCGGGGUAAUGGCCCACCAAGGCUACGACGGGUAGCUGGUCUGAGAGGACGAUCAGCCACACUGGAACUGAGACACGGUCCAGACUCCUACGGGAGGCAGCAGUGGGGAAUCUUGCGCAAUGGGCGAAAGCCUGACGCAGCAACGCCGCGUGCGUGAUGAAGGUCUUCGGAUCGUAAAGCACUGUCGCGAGGGACG
rnacentral:rRNA from 1 species